AGCUUCAUAAAUUGUGCUUAAAGCGAGUUAAAGGCUGCUUACAAUAACAAGAGCAUUUCCAUAUUCAUAAGCAGCCAAAAAAGAACGAUUCAGAGCUGGAAUCUUGGAUAACUUGGCUUUUCGACUAGCUGAUGAUGCGCUUUGUCAGCGCUUGAGUAUCGUGAGCGUCAUUAGUGUAAACGAUACGGAAUACCUUCGUCCACUGCCAGAGACACCAGAGACACCAGAGACAACAACAGCAACAUGUAUCCGGCCAGCGCCAGCAGCAAUGCCGCUGCCACCGCCGCCGCCGCAUCCAAGUUUCAGAAUCGUUGCGCCUCGCCACAAUUUGCCAGCUUUGCGCCACCACCGCCGGCAGAUUAUCCGCCGCCUUCGUUGCAGCAACAGCAACAACAGCAGCAGCAGCAAUUGCAACUGCAGCAACAACAGCAACAGUUGUCGGCACAAACCACAGCGGUGGCGGUGCAUAGUGCAC